UACGGAGGGUGCAAGCGUUAUCCGGAUUCACUGGGUUUAAAGGGAGCGUAGGAGGGCAGGUAAGUCAGUGGUGAAAUCUUCGAGCUUAACUCGGAAACUGCCGUUGAUACUAUCUGUCUUGAAUACCGUGGAGAUGAGCGGAAUAUGUCAUGUAGCGGUGAAAUGCUUAGAUAUGACAUAGAACACCAAUUGCGAAGGCAGCUCACUACACGAGCAUUGACUCUGAGGCACGAAAGCGUGGGGAUCAAACAGG
rnacentral:rRNA from 1 species